AGUCAACAUGCCCAGGGGACGUGGAUAACCUCGGGAAACUGAGGAUAAACCGCGAUAGGUCAUCACUUCUGGAAUGGGUAAUGACUUAAAUCUAUAUGGCCCCUGGAUUGGACUGCGGCCGAUCAGGCUGUUGGUGAGGUAAUGGCCCACCAAACCUGUAACCGGUACGGGCUCUGAGAGGAGGAGCCCGGAGAUGGGCACUGAGACAAGGGCCCAGGCCCUAUGGGGCGCAGCAGGCGCGAAACCUCUGCAAUAGGCGAAAGCUUGACAGGGUUACUCUGAGUGAUUUCCGUUAAGGAGAUCUUUUGGCACCUCUAAAAAUGGUGCAGAAUAAGGGGUGGGCAAGUCUGGUGUCAGCCGCCGCGGUAAUACCAGCACCCCGAGUGGUCGGGACGUUUAUUGGGCCUAAAGCAUCCGUAGCCGGUUCUACAAGUCUUCCGUUAAAUCCACCUGCUUAACAGAUGGGCUGCGGAAGAUACUAUAGAGCUAGGAGGCGGGAGAGGCAAGCGGUACUCGAUGGGUAGGGGUAAAAUCCGUUGAUCCAUUGAAGACCACCAGUGGCGAAGGCGGCUUGCCAGAACGCGCUCGACGGUGAGGGAUGAAAGCUGGGGGAGCAAACCGGAUUAGAUACCCGGGUAGUCCCAGCUGUAAACGAUGCAGACUCGGUGAUGAGUUGGCUUAUU
rnacentral:rRNA from 1 species